UACGUAGGGUGCAAGCGUUGUCCGGAUUUACUGGGUUUAAAGGGUGCGUAGGCGGCCGGGUAAGUCGACGAUGAAAUGUCAGCGCUCAACGCUGGCCCUGUUGUCGAUACUGCUUGGCUAGAGAGUGGAUGAGGCGGCUGGAAUGAGCGGUGUAGUGGUGAAAUACGUAGAGAUCGCUCAGAACACCGAUUGCGAAGGCAGGUCGCUGGACCAUUUCUGACGCUGAGGCACGAAAGCGUGGGGAGCAAACAGG
rnacentral:rRNA from 1 species